GGAAACAUAAAACCUUCCCUGUGCUGAACUUUUAGACUUGCGUCAUUAAAUGAAAAAAAACAAUCACUUCCAUAAACACAGCUGAAGUUAUUUUGUUUCAUCUUGGGGCCAAAGCAGACGCUCUGCAGAACUUACUCGAAGGAUGACUCAACAGAAAAUGUGGGACCAGUUUUCUCAGCUGUCCAGAAUUUUCUGGUUAAACUGGGAGCUGAACUGGCAGCGCUCCACUCACAAGCCUGUUUUUUUCUUCUUACCUCCAGGCGCUCUGCAGCUUCAGCAGAUGAUCUGAAGAGGCCUCUGACACCAAGGUAGGAGUGAGCUGUCCAAAAAGGAACCACUUCCACACAUGCACACACACAAACACACACACAAGACUAAUGUUAUUGGCUGUUUACACACGCUCACUGAUUGGUGGAGUCCGGUAUGCAAGGCUCAUGGAGGCCACCUCAUUAUCUCUGCAGACAUUCACUUUGCUGUCAUCUGAUAUCAAAACACAGCACGCACUGCGACAGAGCUGUCUGAGACGGACACACAGCUAAUCAAUUUCUGCUCCGUGGCCAAUGCUGGACACUCAGGGGGGUCUUUUCUCCCCCCCUGAAAUCCUGCUGCUCGUUAUAGCGACGGCCGAUAAGAGGGAGAAUGAUCGAGAGCGUGCGGAGACAGAGAUGACCCUCACUGCUGCCUGGAUAAUUUAGGAAAGGUUAUGGAAUCAAUGUCUGGCCAUCAGUCUCUGGCUCUAAAUCACGACUGCUGGCUUUGCAUGGGUGCAUUCCAAUAAAAUCUGAUUAUAGGCACUGCGGCUGCAAUUAAAAAUCAGAUGACAUCUCGGUGCUGUGCCCAGCUUGCUGCUCUAGCCAGCCAGGAUCCUGCGGGGGGCUGUAAUCGACAGCAGAAAAACGUCUUUCUCAUCGGGAACAGUUGAUGUCAUUGUCAUAACUCGAAUUUGAUCAUUCUGGAAAUACCCUGAUUUUUCAUGUAUCGUAUUUUUGAAUUGCAGUACCACCAGAAAUCAGAAGGGGCAGCAUUGAGCAGCUAAGCCAACAGUUUAAAGGGAUAUUCCGGCGUAAAAUUAAUUUAGGGUCAAACACCGAGUUAGACACCCCCUCCAGAGAUGAAUGUUGCCGACCGCUUGCUUCUCUAGUUAUACCAACUUUAGUAACGACCGCAGGAUAGCAAUACACAGCAGUCCCAGAUCAACCAAAACGCCACUCUAUAGCCACAAAUAAUGCUCAGAACAGCACCUAACUUCAUCAACAGGACAUAUAGGGUCACAGCCAUAGCACUAGCCACCAAACAUCUUUUUAACUUUAAUUUCUUUAGCAAAGAGACUAAACACAACUCACCUACUCUCUUCCAGCAGCCGCUUGUUUGAAGUGAGAUCUCAGGUCAGUCCAUUACAGUGGGGUGCCACAGCUCAAGGAAGAACAUUUAUGAUCAUUUCUUUAUGGAAAUACAAUCAGAGCAAGACGCUAAGGCAGAGGAACGACCACGUCUGCAGUGCAAAAUGAUUAAUAUGGUGAUUAUUACUUCAAGGAAAUGAUAAAGAAAUGAUCAUGAAUGUUCUUCCUUGAGCUGCGGCACCCCGCUGUAGUCUGUAAUGGACUGAAAUGAGGUCUCACUACAAACAAGCGGCUGCUGGAAGAGAGUAGGUGAGUUGUGUUUAGUCUUUUUGCUAAAGAAAUGAGUCAAAGUUAAAAAGAUGUUUGGUGUCUAGUACUAUGGCUGUGACCCUAUAUGUCCUGUUGAUGAAGUUAGGUGCUGUUCUGAACAUUAUUUGUGGCUAUAGAGUGGCGUUUUGGUCGAGGUUUGUUUAUGGCUCCUCUGACCGCUCUGUAUUUCUAUCCUGCGGUCGUUACUAAAGUUGGUAUAACUAGAGAAUCAAGCGGUCGGCAACAUUCAUCUCUCGAUGGGUUGUCUGACUCGGUGUUAGAGUGUGUUUGACCCUAAAUUUAUUUUACACCGGAAUAUCCCUUUAAGCGAAAAAAAAAGGUGAAACUUCAUAAGAGAGGAUGUAAUGUUACCAUCCCUAAAUGCACGGACAGACAACAACAAUUUAAAUGUAGGAGACAGGAUUCUUCAGGCGCCCCCUAGUGGACAUAUUUCUUAACAUCCACCUCAAUGUAAAGGAGUAUCUAUAAAACAUAUGCAUCAGCUCAUAGCGCUCUGUGAAUUGAUUUAUUAAUGAACAAAAAGAACAAUAAGAGAGAACUCGGCAGACGUUGGCGCAGCUGUCAUCUAAUUUUUCAUAUCUGUGCGUGUCUGCUUCAAACCCACACAAGAAUCUGUUCCCACCUGAGGGAGCUUUGCUGCUUUAUUGGUAAGUCAGAGAUAUGAGGUCUAACCUUCCAAAAAUUCACAGGGAAGGACUUUUUCUGAGCCUGGAGCAGUUUCAAGGACGCAAAACUUCAUACUGCUGUGAAAAACAAAUCUUUCUCAAUCUUCAAACGUGUCUGUUCUUGAGCUUUUUUCUAACCUUGAUUGUCGCUGCUGCUUCUCCAAUUCAAAGUGUACUUGUAAGGAGUUAGGGUUGCUUGAGGUCUCUGCAAAUAUAUUUCUGAAAGAUGCAAGAAAGCAAGAAAGAAAGACUAAAAAUCAACAUCCUCAAAGACUCACUCUGAUGAAAAUCAUGUUUUUCUUGUUGUCUACAUGUUCAUGUGUCAGGAAAUAUCAUCAGAAAACUAAGUGUGAAAUUGCAUUUCUGGGUAUUUCUGAUUUCAAAUUGCUAUGAAUCUCUGACAGACUGAAACGGCAGGUUCAGAUAAAAUGAGAUUUCAUACCUCACAACUCCAAGCUCCGCCCCCAGAGCCCCGCUAUUCAAGAAGUAGAGUGGACAAUCGCGGAACAAGCGUGCGCGUUAGCGGAUUGCAAUGUUCGUAAGAAAGCUAAUUAUGAUAUUAACUUUCAUCACGCCCCUAAAGACAUAAGUGUCCGAGAGCUGAAUAGCUCCUAUGUUACCACAUUUGCUGCACUGUCAAUGUUAGGCUACAAGCUCGCAUGAAGGGGAGUGUGCAGAGUGCCGUCUCCGCCCACAACUCAGAGGCGGAUUGCUAAUGAUCUGCUGAAGCUCUGUAGAAGAAAUCAGCAUCUCCUCAUCCAUGGUGUCAUCAGGGUGAAAUGACGUCUAUAAACCUUUCACUUGUUCGUCUCCGCCCGUUUGCAUGGUGUGAAAUACGAUCCUCCUGAAACACGGAGUGUUUUAUUUUGAAAAGAAGCCGGAUGUUUUAUUUUGUGUCUGUGCUCGACUUCCUUUCCAGCACGGGUUAAUCUGUGCUGAAUUUAUCCGCCAUGCUCCGGCGUCCGGGAAAAAAUAGAACUCUUGUGAUCAGCUGUGGAGUCUGGCGAUCCGCAGAGAAACGGAAAGAAGCCGGUGGAAAUUGACACGUUAACUUGAAUGGUUAUGAUCAGCUAAGAUCGGAGGAUACGGCCUUUUCGUAACCGUUCUGGAUACGGUGGAAAUUGGGGGUAAAAAGUUAUUGGAGAGGGGGGAGGAGUCAGACCAUGAGUGAUAGACAGAUAAAGAAACAGCAGAACUCACAGGAGGAGCAUUUCGUCUGUUUUGACAACUUCUAUGUGUAAAUGAUAAGAUAUAUGAAGAUAUAAGAGGUAUAUCUUUGUCCACAGGGGGCGCCAAAACUACCACAAACUAAGAGUUCCUCAAAGAAGCUUUAAUGGAAGAUCUUAUCAGUUAUUUUUGGAGAGAAUCUCAACCUCAGCAAAAUCAUCUUUUGGUAGCUAAUUACCCGUCUUUUUGUGCAGUUGUUUAGUUUCAAAUUUUCUUCAGUUGUAAACGUUUAAGAUUUCAUAAUCAGGUACUAUAUUUACUGUAAAAUUCAGACAUAUUCUCAGCUGGUUCCUGUUAAACAUGCCCACUCUAAAUCCUCACGUUAAGUGUAAUAACGUUCGGAUGCUGCUAAAUGUUCAAACUCAGACCAAGAAAACAGCUUCACUGCUUUGUUCCCUAAAUCCGUCUGGAAUAAAGUCACAGCUAAAUUAGUAUUCAAAGACAAACUGUGCAGUUUUUGCCUCUAAUGAAGCACAUUUUGUUUUUCCACUCUCGGCUGCCCGAAUGAAAAGCUGCACCGGCACAUAUGCUGAGAUUUGUCUCAACACGGCGAGGGCUCAGGGGCAGAUAUGAGAGCUGAGAUGAGAUUAGGACUGCUGUUGUUUAUUCCACAGCUUAAAAACAGAGCAGAGGAGCCCGUGGCGGAAACACCACAUCACGUCUCCGGUUAAAGUUUAGCUGUGAAUGUGCCCAAAGUGAGACUCUUUUUAUAUUGCGCUGAAGUGCUGCAGGUGAGAAUCACCGAGGACAGCUCCUGCUUUAGGACAUGAUGCUAAUUGUACAGCUUGAUCUUUAGCUGCACAGUGUCAUCUUUCACUCUGCUGCCGUGCUGCUGCAGAUUUAGCAGACAUCUGACAGAAGGGAACAAGCCGAACCAGGGCAAGUGCAGACUUCCCUCUCUGUGUUGCAAUGAUGUGAAAAAUGAAGGAAUCGUUUGGCAUUUUGGUAAAAACGUGUAUUUGCUUCACAGAAUCAGUGCAAUACGAGGGAAACAGCUGGUGUAGUUUCUUAAUUUCAUUUUUUUAAAAUGACUGCAGCUUUGUUGAUAAUUAUAGUUUUAUCAUAUCAAUGCAAAGUCAAACUCUCCCUGAGCACUUAAGAGAAAAAAAAUCAGCAACAAUAUGGUAUCCUCUGUGUCCACAGGGGGCGCCAAAGCAGGAAGCAAAAUACAAUGCGAUUUUUUUAUGCAUUGCGGGGGAGCUAUUGAUUAAUAUUGGCACCAUAAUGUUGUAGUAGUAUGUUGUAGUUGUAGUUUGACUACGAGGAGUCCUUUUGUGUGUUCGGUGAUUUUAGAGUCUCUCUACUGUUUAACAGUGAAACUAUUCAUUUUUGUUUGCAGCGUCUCGCUCUUGUAUUGUAAUUUGCAGACGGUCCCUGCGCACUCGCCCGGCUACCAGCUCCGCAUAGAGAUCAGUCUUACUCAUCCAGCUCGAAGAACGGCUUGAUUUGUGAUUUGUGUUUGGACAUCUUACGUCUCAGAGUUGUCGACCCCAGAACUCAGAAUCUGUGGAUAUCUUUCCAACUUCACAGAACUUUACCACUGCUGCCACAUACAAGCUUUCCGGCGCACGGCACAAAAAAACAAUCCAGAUUUCCGGCACCGUGCCGGAGCUCUUCAAGUCCUGCCAAAGUCAACAGAAAGUCAAUGAUCCUCACAGGAGCUUUAAACAACAAUCAACAGCAGUCUCCUCUGGGAGUCUCUGAGCUCCGUCAUGCCGUAGGUUCCUCUGGGUUGCUGCUGCAGACAUUUUGCUGCUGUGAACAAUCAAUCAAUCAAUCAAUCAAUUUUUAUUUAUAAAGCGCCAAAUCCCAACAGUCAUUAUCCCAAGAUGCUUUCCUAAAAAAAGAGCAGGUCUCGACCGCACUUACUGCAUCAGCCUCCAUCUCUCUCUUUCUUCAUCCCCCUCUCCCUCCUCUCUCAGCAGCGGCAGAUGACUUUCUAACACGAGUCUGGUUCUUCUCGAGGUUUCUGCCUGUUAAAGGAGAGUAUCCGCACUAAAGGACGAUGUUUUUGCACACUGAGUUUAAGAGGUAUGACGUCAAAUUUGACAUUUUAUAGACUUUGACAAAGCGAUAUGAUUUCACAGAUUACCUUUAGUCGUUUAACUUUUUAAAAUUGAUGUUUUGCAAAUGCAUGGACCAAACUGUAGUCAUAAAUUCAGCUCACAUUCAGUUCAUUUCGACAACUACACGACAAUGGCUGUGAAACUGAUGCACCAGUGGCGCUGAAUAUCAGACUAGGAGAAGCUUCUGCAAAUUCAGGGAUCCACUGAAAUCCUCACGCUGAAGUUACAAGUAAGGGAACAUCAUCCAGAGAGCACUUUUGAAUAACUCCUACAUCAACACUAAUCUGAUUUAAGCUGCAGUUUUGCUUUUAUGUCCCGAUCCUACAGGGAAACCAGCUCUUCUACAUGUCUGUGUUGUCAGUGUCUUACGCUCUUACGACAGUGGCACAUGCACAGCAGGCCUACAGCUACACACAUCCAUCCAAGAGGCAAUUAAAAGUAAAAAAGUCACUUAAUCAGCUGUUUUAUUACUAUGUGAUACAAAAAGCAUGUGCAUAUAAAUUGCUGCUUUCAGUAGAGCCGGGCUUCUGCUGACUCGCUCGCCUCUGUCUCAUUCUCAGGAGAUUUACCAUAUAAUGGAAAAGCAGCAGCCAGGCUUUUUUGUUCCCCUCCCAAACCUGAAUUGAAUGGGUCCCAUGAGCUAUCAGCGUAAACUCAGAGGAUAGACUGCUGCGCAAUUUGCCCAUAAAUCACAAAAAGUGCUGUAAUUCUGAGAGGAGGCUUAUGUGGGCUGAAUGUGUGGGCGGGAGGGGAGAGUUGAGCAUUCAGGCUCCGGUUUGCUUCAGUUUACUCUAACAAUAACACAUGAGAGGGUAUUUUUACUGUCACCUACAGCAUCAACACCACACCACCGCUCCCGUGUGUGUCUUAGCCUCGCAGCAUUUCUUUCCCUGUUUGAACUGAUAGGAGCAGCUGAUAGGAAUAUUAAGACGCAGACCAGGCUAAAGGUCCUUUCACACCAGGACCGAUUUUAUAUUUCGGACAUCAAUAUUUUUUUCGAACCCGUAUCCUGUCAAAACAAGCGUUCACAUCAGCGACAUUUUCCCAUCCUGCGAUAUUUUGGCAUUUAUUUUUUCGGAUCACGGUCGAUUUUUCUAAAGUUUUGCAUACUGUGUGUCCACUUCUGACCAAUCAGAUUUCGUGUUGUUGCGACGUCAGAUUCACCGGUAUAUCCAACAUGGCCGACCGGCUGAUUGUUUACGUGUCGGAGAACAGAGUGAUUUUUGAUAAAAGACACAAAUAUUACAAAGAUAACGACUUCUCAUAUGACGAUGGUUCGUGUGUUUUUACAGUUUGCUCAACGUCUUUGCCGUUUUUUGAUUCUUGUAGCCAGUAGUUUGUGCUAUUAGGACAUGAAAGAGGCUUCAUUUGUGUUUGGACAACGUUUCCUCUCAGAGUUAUUGAUCCCGGAAGUCCAAAUCUGUUAACAUCUUUUCAACUUUACUGAACUCAGGGUCCAGAGCUGCAAGAAUCAAACAAACUUCCUCUAAAUCCCCCUGGCAGAUCCCGCUACUUGAGUUGAAUUGUUUCGUGGCCACGCAUACAUUUCUUUUUCUCCACUAGAUGGGGCUCCGUAGACACAAAAAUAAGGAUGUAGAGGGAAAGCUCAAAGAGUGAGAGUGGGAGUGGCUAUGGAUGUUUAUGCAAAUCACUCCUGUCGUGAUGUCAUCACAGGAGCAAAUCCAAAUUUCCCCAUUAGGAGUUAUGUUUUCCCAGAAAUGGUGCCACUAAACCGAUGUAAAGCUCUAUAUUUUUGAGCUGGAGGACGAACAGAUGUUCAGGCAGGAAAAAUGUGAACACCUUUCAGGCUUUUGAAUCCAGGCUUCAACAGAAUAUCAAAAAGAAACCUUUAUUCACCACACAGCGGGGGAAAUUUGAUCCCGGCUGCAAGGAACACGCACUGCAGAUAGAAACGAGACAAGCAAACAGACGGUGGAGAGAUAAUUAUGAAGUGUCGAGUUAGGAAAAAUACAAAAGUGCAAAUGAGCUUGACACCUGCACCUGUGCAUGACAUCUGUUGUGCAACACGAGAGCAAAAUAUCAAAAACGUUUGGUUAUUAAUUUCCACAAAAUACAUCGUAGAUUUACUUAGUUUUAAUGCUUCAUUUCUGCCUCAUUAUAACGACACUGGUCUAGUGGUGCCUUCAUUAAGCUAGCCCAUGCAUCCUCGUGUCCAACCACCUCCUCCGUCUAGAAGAUUUGAGCGGACUAUUAAGGUUUAAGUUUGUCAGUAUCAGCACCUGUUUAUAAUCUCUCUCACCAACUGAGCAAAAAUAACCAAGAACUUGUCAGAAACCCUCCGAGGAAGUCUGAGGUGUUCAGGGUCCAGGUCUUUAACAUGGUCCUGAGGCUAGAACCGUUUUAAUGGUUGUAAUUAGCAGCUAAUUAAACUACAUCAACAGCGCUGGCGGUACACAGUCUCAGCCCUCAGAAGAUGCACGCAGCCGUCGAGGCAGCUGUGCCGGGUACAUUUAUCACUCCGCCUGUGAGCCCAGAGCUGCUUCAGCGACGACAGAGACGGUUCAAGGUGCACCUGUCUGCUCCUUAAGUUAACUGCUCCGCUCAUCAGACACAGUCCCACAGGCCGGCGCCUUUAUGGAGCCUGAAAUAAAGUUAGUUUAUGAGGCCGUUUUCUCUUUAUGUGAAAUAAUCGUGUUGGUGAGGACUCGAAGCAGCCCAGAAUUUUAAUUCAUGGUGUGAACAGCUGCAGUCUGCUCCUCGAGGGUGACUGAAAAUGACCCGCGAACGCUCCAGUCUGCCAGCGAGCGUCAGCUGAUCAGACCACACAGAGGAUUUCUCCCUGAGAGGAGGAGUGACUCACCGAGUCAGCUGUAGUCAGAGUACUACUACUACUACUACUUCAUUUAUAAGGUUUCACACAUUCAUAUUCAGGACGUGUGCCGGAAAGCUCCGCUAACCAGAGGGAUACACUGAAGGUCCAUGUGGUCGUAUUUUAGGCCGUUAGUCGAGUUUAAAUUUAGUGACAAAAAAAAACAACUAAUCGGUUUUAAAUCAUAAUCGGAUUAUUUAACUAUGAUGAUGUUAAAAAAAUUAAAAUCGUCAAAUCAGUUUUCCUCUCUAUCAUGUCUCGCGCCUCCAGGCCACCGUAGGCUCCUCAGUUCCCACACACACCAGUGUAAACAAACAUGGCGUUUGCUAAAGAAGGCAAUAAUUUCGUGGUUAAAUAGAACAAGAGCGAGUCAGUCAUGUUGAAUUGGUACGAUUUCGCAGUUUCAGAUGAAGAGUAAACCACUCCCCGCUGUAAAGUCUGUCUGAAGGCGGUAUCAACCCGUCACCACGGAAACGAAUUCAGGAGUAAAUGUAAAGUUUUUUGUCGUGUCGGCGUUUCAUCCACACAGAAGCGGAGUAAAUCUGUAAACGACGACCAUUUCAUCUCCGUGUGGAUGUCUAUCUGCAUCUCUGGAAACGAUCAUGUGACACACAGCGUUAACUCUUUUAUGGCGCCAAAACAACUUUUAUACUCAUGCUCUGUACUCUUCUUCUGUCUUUUGUGCAUUUCCUGUGCGGCGUUACAGCGCCACUUACUGGCUUGGCAUGUGCGCUACAUCGUUUGCAGCGGUUUUGUUUUGAGAGAUGAUGGAAGAAAUUUCAUGAAAGUGAAAUUUGGUGAAGUUAUCACUGAAUAAAAAAUAAUCACUCAGUCAGGGUCUGCCCAUUGUGUGUUUUUAUCCGAACGAAGUUGACAAAAGAUACCCUGUCAGUGAAGUGGUGAACCCAGCACUAUCCUUAAAAACCUAAUUUCCUCCUGACUGGUGUUUUUAUGUUUCACUCUCACAGUCCCGGCCUUGAGGAAGGUCGUCUAAUUACUCGCAUCACAGCAGGAGGGACGCUGCUGUGUGCAGGAGAUGAGGCUGUCGUCACUCCCAGGAGGAAAUGAUGAGAGAGAGAGAGAGAGGGGGAAAAUAGAUGAUUAUUCUGGCUUUACUCCAUGUUUGUUGCAGCAGAAUCAAAACAACUGGAAUAUUCCUAACAGUGCAAAGAGGCAGGCUGGAAAACUAUGGAAUAUCCCGUAGAGGUUUGAACAGCAGUGCAGAUGACCGGAUGGUCCGGGGGGGGCAUCGACAUGACAUGAUCAAACAUGCGGAAAAAUCUUUGAAGAAGGUCGGAGAAAAGGCAGAGAAAGGGAGGAAGGGGGCUAACACCGCUAUACAGGCAGCUGCAGGGGAUGGCAAGGAGACUGGAAGACCUACUGGUUUAUUCCCAGCUGAUGACCCUGCAGCUCGCCUAGAGAAGGUGCGAAGUGCCGUAACAGGAAACAACACCUGACCCGUUAACAGAGUCAUUGCAUGUGUGUAUUUCUCAACCAAGGAUGUGUAUUUGGAGCGUGGCGGCAGCGUCGCAUAUCAUGCAGCAAAUAGUUUGUCAUUCUGAUCAAUGCAGCAAAGCGUACAGGACGCAUAUCAGCUCCGUCACAGCAUCGUAUCGAGAGCAGCACUGCUAAAGAUUCGCGGUGAGUCUAUUUUUGCUAUUCUACACUUCCAAUACACGUCAAUCCACCCAGAGAAGAUCGUUCUAGACAGGAGGUCAAGCACGAAAAACAUGCACGUCAUCUGGUAUUUCAAAAUAUUGAGUUUAAGUUUAAACACAUAGCACUUCCUUAAAUAUGUGGUUACUAUGCAGACCACAUACUUGGUGACUGGCCUGCAGAGCGGCAUCGCAUUUCCUGCAUUUCUACAUUUCCAGAAAUGCAGUUGGUCCAUCUAUAUGUUGUUCAAAAGAUGCAUGUAAUGGAUGCAAGGUAGUUAAGAAAACUUGUACAGAAGAAGAACAGAGGACUAAGGCUGCGUUCCAGUUACCUCGGAAGUCCGGGCUGGGAGUGAUGUUGAUAGCACACACAAACCUCAUCUACUAACUGGGUACACUGAGGAUUGCGUCUGUCAAAUGAGCAAAACAGCGUGCGCAAUCGAUUUAGCGUGUUUGCCUUCAUGAAUAUGCAGAAUGUAUGAAGAUCAUCAGAACGCGCAAAACUCUGGAAGGAGCAGAGAUUUCUAGUAUAUCUUCUUGCAUCUGUAAAGCACUUUGAAGACCCUACACCGGACCGGAAAUGAGUAACGUGAGUUAAGACGCGGAAGCACGAAUCGGCGGGGAGGCGGGUAGUUGAAAACGUUUUUCUGGUCAGAGUUUGAUUCGUGAUAAAUACGUGGAAUAUUACUGAGGUUAAUGUUACUGAGAAGUCUUUGAAGGCUCAAAAACAGCCAUUUGUUAAAAAAUAAGUAAAUAUGUUGAUAUAUUACUUAAAUUUAGAACAUUUUAAAACUUUUAAAAAAAUUUAAAAAUUGGCUGAUUAACCAGUAAUCAGAUUUUUUUCCUCCCUAACAAACGGUAUCGGCAUCGGCCCUAAAAUUUCCAUAUCGGUCAUGCCCUACUCUAUACUGAGCCCAGCUGACCGGGGCAGCACUACGCUGCAAAUACGCUGCAAAUACGCUGAUCCUGUGUGCGAUACCCAGGACUGCUCUACGGAGCAAAUACGAACACACUAAAUACGGAUCCUGUAUGUUUUCCGCUUUGCUCCUUCCACCCUUCUGCAAGUUAGACUACAUCAUAGUCCUUCUGACUGUCAGGUCAGUAAAUCUCCCAUGAUGCUUUGAAACCCUGAAGCAGGACUGCUGGGGUGCGUGCAGGCUCAGUUACAAUGACAAAAGGCCGAAUCUGCAGCUGUUCUCCUGAAACCAGCCAACAGCCUCGGAGUGUCUCCCUCCAACUCUCCAGUUUUGCCGCGAGCCCCUUUCAGAACACAUCACAUCCCUUUGUGUCAGAGCUGCUGGACUCGGCUCUCCAGAGUCUGUCUGUUGUGCUGCCGUCGCCCUGAAGGCUGUACACACUGUGUGUUUCCUCAGGGUGGGUCCAAGUUUAUUUAGACCCUCCCCGACACUCUGAGCCAGGAAACCUCCAGGGCUGCUGACCGACCCGUCACCGCACACACUCUCUAAACUGGACAGAGACUAGAGAGAAGACUCCGGCUCAUUUCUGUGAGCUGGAUGAUUGGACUCGGAGACGAGAGGCUGCUCUUUUGGCUCUUCUCCUCACUCAGUCCACAGGCAAAGGCCACAACAGUGAACAGGUUCUGAUUUAACCGUUCAUGCCCCAAUUAUCCUCAGAAUGAUGCUGCUGAGCUCUCAGUCAUCACAGUUCCUGCUGACGGUGUUCAGCCUGACAGACCCCCUCAGGGUUUUACUGGAGGACAGAGAGAUGACAAAAAAAGAGAGAAAAUAGGAGGACGGAGAGGUGCAAAAUGUGACAAACUAAAUAGGAAGUACGAGAGUGGAGGCGCUACGAUGUUCCUGCAUGCAUACACUUGUUUGCAAGCUUUAAGGCUUGUUUUUGCUUCACUGUCAAGGUCACAUAGUGUACUCUGUUAUAUUUUUACACCUCAGGUUUGUAAUAAAUCUGGGCUAUAAAACUAAACAUCACCAGAAACCUUCUCGACGGUUUCUAUUUCAGUCUGUAAACCUCGUCUGAACCUGGAGCUUCCUCCUCUGAGCUCUUACUAGAUUUCCUCCACUUCCUAAUGAGUCUCAGAUUCACCCUCAGAGCAGUUACAUGUUGCAGCGUAUCAUCCAUAAAUCAUCAGCUCAUUCGUUUUUACAUAUUAUUAAAGAAUGCAGAUUUGUAAGUGAUUGCUUUGAUCAGCGGUUAAUUACGAGAGUGAGGGAGUGAGCGUUGAGGGAAUUUCCUUCGUAUCCAAACGAGUAAAAGUGUCGUUUGUCUUCCCGAUGAAACACACACAAACUUCUCUGUCGACAUGAUGUAACAGAAAAUAAAUCAACUUUCUUUCUCCUUCAUUUAUAGACCAACAGCAUGAAGACGAACUCCAGAGGAACACCAGUGGGUGACGGUCCAGUUUCUCAGCAGGACUCUUCUCCUACAGAGCCACGCUGUUGUCAGAAUGUGGUUGAGGAUCAUAUGAAGAUCUUCCCUGAAGAAGUCUUUGACUGGAUGGCAGUAGAUGUUGCUCCCAAACCUGGAGAUAUUGUUUAAAACUGAGGAUGCAGCAUCUAUGAUUUCUAGU